rnacentral:tRNA from 4 species
GCCCCUGUAGCUCAAUGGACUAGAGCGCAUCUCUCCUAAGGAUGAAAUAUAGGUUCGACUCCUAUCAGGGGCA